rnacentral:lncRNA from 1 species
CGCAGGUCCAACCCAAGUCACAUCAUCUUUUGCCUGACUGUUGCCUGAAUAACUCCUGCCUCUCUUCAAUCCACUCUCCAUGUGGUAGCCAGGGAGCUUCCAAGCCACCAGGGACCACUGAUUUCCAGAAGCCCCUGGUCCUCCUGAGAGAAUGAGGAGCAAAUCCAAGCACUGGGCAGACCCUGCAAGAGUGCCGCGCCUUCACCCUUCUCUGCAUAUCCUGGGCUCAGGGACCCGGGGGGAGUUGGCAGUGGCUAACAAGUUCCGUUCCAUCUGCUGCUUCUGGCAGAGUGGACCUGGAACCUGGGGCCCUUCUCUAGGUCUCCCCGAGCCAAACUAUCAAAUGAAUGACAGCUAAGAUUCUAUCGAUUUCCCACCGUCUGGUUCUUUUCUUUCCCUGUGACAUUUUUACACUCUGCAUUUUAGUUUGGGUUUGCAGAAUUUCACAAGAUUCUUGUUCGAUUUCCUUCCUCAAAGCACUUUAUUGUGAUUGUAACAUUAAAAACAGAGAAACAAACCACGUCCAUGAGUUUUUUUAAGACAGGCCUGAAAGCCUUGGAGCCUGCUGUGUCACACUACACGCUGUUUCAUCUUCUACUCUCCUCACUCUGAUUCUUCUAAGGCCAAACUUUCUCACUGCUGCUGCCAACCCUGCGUUAGUGAGACUCAAUGAGAUGGUUUUUCCUCUGCCCCCCACGCCUAUACAGUGUAAAGGGGCCAUCCUGGAUGGUGUCCAGCUAGGAAAGCCCAGCCUCUGCUCUCUAUUGCUGUCAGAAGAUUCUAGAAUCACAGGGGCUUGGGUUCGAGUCUUGAUUAUACCUUACCAGCCAUGUGACUUUUUGUGACAACUUCUCUGAGUCCAGCCAGCUUCUUUAUUUAUUAAAAAAUGUAUCUCUCUCAUAGGGAUUUUUUGAAAAGUAAAUGAGAUAAAUAUGGAAUGCCUGGCACAUAUUACACUCUUAAUAAACUUUUGUCCUCCUCAAACUGUCUCUCACUAUGGAGGUGAUUUUGCCUUGGCCAGCAGGCUGGAGGCCUUCUGGGGAAGCAUUGAAAGCAAGAACUUGU